GCCAUUAAAUUUGAAAGCGUGAGAUCAAAAGCUUAUUUCAGAAGCACGACCUCCAUCACCAAAAGCCAAUGCAUAUCUGAAACCUGAAAUUCCCAAAUCCCCUUGCACUCUAACCCCUAAAUCGAAAUUGAUCCAAAAUUGACGGACUGCAAAGUGUGAUUGUUGAAACCAUUGACAUGGAGAGAACACAAGGAGGUAAAUCCCAAAAAUUUUCCCCUUUAUUUUAAUUUUUUUUUUUUAUCACUGGGUUUUUGUUGCUCCAGUAACUCGCAAAGCAUGAUUAAGGAAAUAAAAUCAAACAUAAGAUGAUCAACAUGUUCUACAACCAUAUGGAUACUACUGUCUGGUAGAUGUCAUUUGGUUCAUGUUACUGCAAAGUUUGUAAAUGGAAAGCCAUAGGCAGAUUUGAUAGCAAAUGGAACAUGCUCCACUCAAAUGGAUAGUAUUACUCCACAAACAAGUCUCCCCAGCAAAAUUAUUAUACAACACUUUAUCAAAUCAGCACAAAAUCAACAAGAAAAAAUAUUUAUAAUCAGCACAAAUCACCACAAAUUCAGAAGAUUAAACCAGCACUAUGUGUUGUUAAUGCUUCAGGCUGACUUAAUUCAUCAGAAAUUUCAGAUACAUUACUUACUUUUCAACAUAAAAAACAGCUUAAAAAAUACGAAGCUGCUGACUUUAGUGAUAGCAAAAUACCAGUUUCAACAUCCAAAACAGCUUAAAAAUCAACAUCUGCAAUACAAUUUAAUUUUCAGGCUGCCUUCAAGAAAUUUCACAUAAUGUUUCAAUUUGCUUGUGCCCCAGCAAGCCUCCUAGCAUCUGCUCUUGAUCUGGAAGACUCUCAGGCAGAUAUAGGUGUAAAUUCAUGAUAGGUCCCAGUCAAAGCUAUUAUAAUGGCAGCGUAGAUAGAAUUCUAUUUAGGUUGAGAAUGAACCACAAUAAUUUUAUUUUCAAUACCCCCAUCUUACUGCAACUGGAGGAGUUUAAAUACAUAAAGAAAAACUGCCUUCCCGAAACUUCGACCUCUACUCUUAGGGUGUGUUUGAUUACAUUUAUUUUCCAUGGAAAAUAUCAGUUUUCCACCCAAAUUCUUACUUGGAGUGUUUGAUUGCUAUUUUUUUCCAUGGAAAACAUUUUCCAACUUUUGAAAAUAUGCCUAAUUUUCCUUGUUUUUAAGGAAAAUAUUUUCCUUGGGUAGAGGUGGUUUUUAUUUUCCACAAAAGAUGGAAAAUAUUUUCUUUUUUAGGUAACAUUUUCCAUGUCAAUCAAACACACUCUUAAAGUAAGGACUCCACAACUACACGUAAAUUAAUAACUAACAAUUACCCAAAUAACAAAAUAAUAGAUAACAAAUAUUGGACCAAUGGAACUUUGCCAGCAAUUCCUCAACAGCUCCAAUCCAUUCUUCCACGAUCCACGUAUCCAGCAUGUCUAACAGAACCUCAUACUAUAAACCAUGGAUUCUUGAUGGGAACACGUUGUGAUCGUCUUGGUUUAUCAAUACCCCCUUCUUUUACUGGAACCUUGUCCUCAAGGUCCAUGUUUAUGAACUUAUCUUGCAAUUCUUGAGCAUUUUCCCAAGUGGCAUCGUCCACAGGUAGUCAUUUCCACUUGACAAGAUUUUCUUCAACAAAACGUGAUCCUUUCUUUACCCAACGUGUAUCCAAGAUGGCUUCGGGUUCCAUGAUAAUUCCUCCAUCAUCAUCAAUAAGAGGUAAUUCAACAGUAGUGGAGUUGGAUUCGCCCAAUUUCUUUUUAAGCAGUGACUUAACUCGUUGACAUAUAUCACAAGAAGAGACGUAGUCUUGCACUUCCUGAUACAUAGAUGGCCAAUAGAAUUGUUGUGCAAGUCAUUUAUAUGUCCGUAACACCCCAGAUGUCCACCGAAUUGAGAAUCAUGGAAUUCUCGCAAGAGUUGCUUGAUUAUUUGAGAAUUUGGAGGUACCACCACUCUGUUUUUAUAGCACACCAGUCCAUUUCGCCAUGUGUAAGGAACACCUGGUUUUUCAGUUGCCAACCUGCCAAUUUUCUCCAUGUCCUUCCAACAGCUUCAACUUUAAUUUCAUUCCAUAAAUGAGCCUGUGAAACAAAUAAAGCAUCGAGCCUAGGGCUGCUUACCCUUCUUGAUAGCGCGUCUGCUGCUGAAUUUUCCCUGCCCGGUUUGUAUAUUAUUUCAUAGUCAUAUCCAAGCAACUUAGCCACCCAUGUUUGUUGUUCUGGUGUUGCUAUGCGUUGCUCCAUUAAGUAUUUGAGGCUGCGUUGAUCUGUCUGAAUAUAAAACUUUCGUCCUAACUAAUAUGGUCUCCAAGUUCUGAUAGCUUGAACAAUGGCCAACAUCUCUCUAGCAUAUGUGGACCAUGAUCGUUUGGACAUCCCCAAGGCUCGGCUUAUGAAUGCAAUUGGCUUUCCUUGUUGAGUUAGAACUGCACCAAUUCCAUCCCCUGAAGCAUCAGAUUCUAUAACAAAAGGCUCCUUAAAGUUAGGCAUAACAAGUGUAGGGGUGGACGUCAUAGCUUGUUUGAGAGCUUGGAAUGCAAUUUCAGCCUCUUCUGUCCAUCUGAACUGUCCCUUUUUUAACAGAUUGGUCAGGGGUCGAGCCAAUAUGCCAUAAUUACGAACAAACUUCUUGUAGUAGCCUGUAAGGCCUAAUAAUCCAUGCAAUUCAGAAAUAUUAGUAGGCCUAGGCCAAUGUAGCCUUGCUUUAAUUUUUCCUUGAUCUACUUUUACUCCUUGAGAAGUAACAAUAUGACCCAAGUAUUCCAACUCUUGCUGACCAAAUGCACAUUUGCAGAUUUUAACAAAAAAAUGGUGUUGCCUUAAUAUUUCAAAAGCUUGUUUAACAUGUUCAAGAUGCAAGGUUGAAUUGGGGCUAUAAAUCAAAAUGUCAUCAAAAAAGACUAACACAAAUUUGCGAAGAUAAGGUCGGAAUAUGGAGUUCAUAAUUGCUUGAAAAGUAGAUGGGGCAUUACAAAGACCAAAAUGCAUGACUAAAUAUUCGAAAUGACCAUUAUGAGUACGAAAAGCAGUUUAGAAACGUCUAGAGGAUGUACCCGUACCUGAUGGUAGCCAGCUUUUAAAUCUAGUUUAGUGAAGUAAGAUGCCCCAUGGAGUUCAUCUAGCAUAUCAUCAACUGUGGGAAUUGGAAACCGUUCUUUGAUGGUUACAGCAUUAAGGGCUCUAUAGUCGAUACAGAAGCGCCAUGUGCCAUCUUUCUUUUUAACCAAUAAAACAUGAGACAAAAAAGGACUAGUACUUGAUUUUAUAAGCCCCAAUUUUAACAUGUCGUGAACUUGUUUUUCAAUUUCAGCUUUUUGAAAAUAGGCAUACCUGUAGGAUCUCACGUUGAUAGGCUCCGUUCCUUCUUUUAGAGUGAUGCGGUAAUCAAUUUCUCUUGCUGGAGGCAAUUGCUUUGGCUCUUGAAAAAUGUCCUCAUAGGCUUUCUUCAAGUUUUGCAAAUCUGGAUGUAAAUCAUGUUGUGGUUCAUGUGCCCCGUUCUGUAGGCAAAUAGCAAACAUAGAAUUUCCUUGUCGUAGUUCCUUCGAAAUCGCCUUUAAGGAUGCGGAUUGAAUAGGUGAUGUAUCGGUUCCUUGUAGCUUUUGAGCUUUAUUUUUCCACUGGAAUUCCAUUGUCAUUUUUUUCCAAUUGCAGACCACCGUUCCCAGUUGCUCCAACCAUUGUACGCCUAACACAAAGUCUAGCCCAGUUAGUGGCAAUGAAUAGAGAGUAAGAGAGAAAGGGAUACCCUGAAGUAAAACCUGCACAUGCGCAAAUCUCCCUUGGCACUUCAAUGGAUUCCCGUUAGCUACUUUCACAUUGAAUGGCCCGGUUGGAACCACAGGUAAUUUUAAUAAAUUAGCUACCUUCUCACUAACAAAGUUGUGGGUGAAACGACUGUCAAUGAGGACAACCACCUCAUAAUGUCCGAUUCUGGCCAUGACUUGUUGGAAGAAUUUUGUGAAUAGAGACGCUAAAAAUAAGUAUAAAGAUAGGGACAAAGUCGAGGCAAGAGUUGGACUCUUUGUCCUUAAGUCGAAUUUGCCCCGCAACGGUGCCUAUGGAUUUCGGCAAUCGACUCUCAAGAUACAACGGCUACACUUGUGUUUGUAGCACUCCAAAACACAAGUACAACGAACCAAAUUUAGGCUUAUGUACUCUAAGGAUGAAAUGAAAGAAAAUCAAAAUAAAUGAAAUGAUUUUGAUUUUGGAUAGAAGAGAGGAUGAGAGACGUUUUGCAUAUCAAACUGUGAGGAAUAGGACACCCAAAGGGUCCUAUUUAUAGACCAUGAAAGGGUGUGGACGAAAUGGUUGAUGCCAAACCAUGCACCCUUUUCCAAAUAAUGCACAUUUAUGAAAAUGUGUCUAUUCACUGAUUUUCGUCCUUUUUCGUAAUUUCUCAUUCAUCCGAUAUUGGUUUUCGAAAUGCCAAAUAUACCCUUCAAUACAUGCAGAGAAAUCAGUGUUCUCUUUCGGGGGCGUUGCCCCCGACCCCCCACGAGGGGCGCUGCCCCCUCGACCCUCGCGACUUGACCGGGCAGGUCGAUCCCCGUUUGUGCGCCCCGAAGCGGCGAAGUGGCAAAUAAUUUUGGUUAAACGGAUUGGGUCGAGCUUUUGAGUAUUUGGCUGAAGUCGAUACGAAGUCACUUUAAUCGAUUUUCAAUUCUCGAUUUAUUUAACCAAUAUCCAACAUGACUAUCAUGGUUCUAGAAGUUGACCAUCCAGUUAAAGCGUGUAGUGAUAUCUCUGGUUCAGGUUGGAGAUCAGUUAUGGGCACUUCUGUCUCGUUAUCAAGAACCUCUUCAAACUUGAUAUUGAUGUUGCUUCCUUCUAGCAGCAAGAUUAGUGGGCUUCGGCAUUUAUGACCCACAAUAAACUUGUCGUUACAAUUAAAACAAAGAGCUUGAGCUCUUCUCUUUUGCAUUUCCUCCCAUGUCAAGCGUUUUACUGGAGAUGUUAAGUUGGGCUUUGCUGGAACAGGAAGGUUGGAGUGUGGCCGACUGAGUGGCUGUAGUCGCAUAAAUCUCCUCUGACGAAGAAGUUGGUCGUCUCGCAUGCGUGCGAGACUAAUGGCUUCCUUCAGUGACUUUGACUUGAACAUUCGUAUGCCUCCCGCUAUUUCAGCCUUGAGACCUCCCAUAAAUGUUCCUACUAAUGCCUUUUGCGUCCACCCGUGCACUCGGUUGCCCAACCUCUUGAGCUCCUUUUGGUAGUCUCGCAAGGAACCUACCUGUUUGACCCGUGAUAGUGCUUCGUCAAAGUCUUCACAUUCUGUAGGUCCAAAACGAGCCCACAGCUCUUCCUCAAAAAUUUCCCAUGUCACCAAUCGCUCAUCCUCUUUGUAUGCUCGGUGCAACCAUUGCCACCAUUGGUUGGCUUCAACUUAAAGGUGGAAUGAUGCCAAGGAUACCUUUUGUGCUUCCGGAGUGCCUUGAUACUCUAGAAACUGACUAACUCAGUUGAACCACUCAGUAGGAUCGUCGCCGGAAUAACGAGGAAACUCAAGUUUUGCCAUUUUAGAGGAAAAAAUUGAACGACCUCUGUCAUUAUCAUCCUGUUGGUACGAGAAAAGCCAUCUCGUUCUGUGUUGUGGUGGCUAGGGGAUUCUCUAUGGGAUAGCAUAGCUUCCGAAAGUCGAUUGAUGGCCUCCAACUGGUUCAACUUAUCAGCCUCACCACAUUCCAUCUGUUGUAUCCUGUCUCGAACUCGGAUGAGUCUAGCCUCCAAAACUUCAAUCCUUUCUUUGUUGGAUGCCAUGGUGAUUAAGCUCUAAUACCAUUGAUAUGUUCCAGUCAAAGCUAUUAGAAUGGCAGCGUAGAUAGAAUUCUACUUCGGGUGAGAAUGAACCACAAUAAUUUUAUUUUCAAUACCCCCCUCUUACUGCAACUGGAGGAGUUUAAAUACAUAAAGAAAAACUGCCUUCCGGAAACCUUGACCUCUGCUCUUAAAGUAAGAACUCCACAAAUACACGUAAAUUAAUAACUAACAAUUACCCAAAUAACAAAAUAAUAGAUAACAAUUAUUGGACCAGUGGAACUUUGCCAACAAUUCCUCAAUAGCUCCAAUCCAGUCUUCCACGAUCCACGUAUCCAGCAUGUCUAACAGAACCUCAUACUAUAAACCUUGGAUUCUUGAUGGGAACAUGUUGUGAUCGUCUUGGUUUAUCAAUUCAUCAUCCAUUUCUUGAAGUUCGAUUUGUUCAGUCACUACUAAUGUCACAUUUUUUUCGAUUGAACAUCUUCACCUUCACCAGAUGAUAUGUCGUUGUCUGAAUUAUUGAAGUCUGGAUCAUCCUCCGCAUCUGUCACAAAAAUAGGAAAUUCAGGACUGACCAAAAAAUAUGAUAUAUGAACUCUUCAGGCCACUUUAUAAAAAAUAUAUAUAUAUACUUCUAAACAUGUAGUGAAAUAUAACUCAUCUGGCCACUUUACAAAAAUAUGCUUCUAAACAUGUAUCAGUUUUGUAUAUUUUGUAUUGACGAAACAACUGAAACGGACAACUAAAGGAUUUAUCUGAAACUUCAAGCUUUGGUUGUAGUUUGCUGAAUCAUAAUCUGUAAACUAAUGCAUACUUUGAAACAAUUAAACAAACUAAAAUCUUAACAUGUGCCCAGAUUACCGUGAAACCCAUUCUUUGAAACCCACCUCACCACAACAAUACCGUGAAACCCAUUCUUUGACACAACAAAAUAGUUUGGAAUUUACCUCAAUGUGCGAUUCUUUGGAGAUUAAAGGGGUGUAUUCAGUCGAGACUUUUAAUGACUUUUUGAGAUUUAAAAAGUUUAGGAGUAUUCAAUUGAGAUUUUUUUAAACUUUUAAGAAAUAUCUAAAAAUCACGGUGUAUUCAAUUGAGACUUUGAUACACUUUUUGAUGCAGGAACACACAAAUUGAUAAAGAAUAAUAAGAAGAAAGGGGAAUCACAGGGAAGAAUUGAGGGCAAAAGAAAUAAUCUUAUUCAUAUAAUGCAAGUGUUUCUAAACAUUGCCCGAAGCCCCUUUAUAUAGAGAAGGACUUUAAAAUUAAAUAAACUUCUUAUCUAAAGAAACUUGAAAAUAAAAGAUAACAUUGUCAAAAUAAAACUAUUAUAAUUUAGAUAUACUAGAAUUCUACUGAUUAUUAGUCUUUCGCCUUGAAUAGACUUUUAAUUGUUUCCUUGUUGCAUCAUUCCUCCUCGGCUGAAAAGAACUCGACUUCGGCGAGGUAUAAUCCAAGUAAGCAUCCAAAAGCUUUGGAUCCAAUUGACAAAAUUUUUCUUCAUUAAUCCACGUAGCAUCACUAAGCGGACGAUCUUUCCAACGCACAAGAAACCUACGAAAACCCCCGUUUUGGGAUGCAAUGAUCUCAUCGUCGAGCAUCUCAUCAACAAUAUCCUGAUGUGAAAAUGUGGUAAUGGGGGCUUGAGGGAGCGGUUGAGAAACUUGUCCUGCAAACAUGUUAGAAGACAAAAUCGGAGGCUCGAAUGUGCCUUGAUAAGGAUAUAAAUCUGUUAUAUUGAAAACUGGACUAAUAUUUAAGUGCGUUGGCAAAUCAAAUAGAUAAGCAUUAGUUCCAAGCCUUUUAAUAACAAGGAAAAGGCCAAGUGAUCUAGCACAAAGUUUUUUUGCAGCAUGUUUUGGAAAACGUUCAGGUGCAAGUCUUAUCAUAACAAAAUUGCCAAUCUUAAACUCUUUAUGCCUACGAUGUGCAUCAGCUGUUAGUUUAUAGUGGUCAUUGCUUAAAACAAUUUUUCUUUUAAUCUCUUCAUGUAAGGUGCGGAUAUGAUCAGCAAAAGAUUGCGUAGAUGCAGCAGGACGAAAAUCAGUAGGUAACGGAACGAGGUCCAGUAGUUGUCGUGGGAAGAAACCUUGAACAAUCUCAAAUGGGCUAUAACCGGUAGACCUAUUAACAGAAUUAUUAUAUGCAAAUUCAGCGGUAGGCAAUACCAAAUCCCAAUUACCCGGUUUGUCCCCGACUAAACAACGAAGCAAAUUACCUAAACUACGAUUUACUACUUCUGUUUGACCAUCUGUUUGGGGGUGGAAUGCUGAUGAGAACUUAAGAGUUGUCCCAAACAAUUUCCAUAGAGUUUUCCAAAAGUAACUAACAAAUUUAACAUCUCCAUCAGAAACAAUAGUGAUUGGCAGUCCGUGCAGUCGAACAAACUCUUUGAAGAAUAACUUAGCGAUAUAUGAUGCAUCAGUAGACUUGGAACAUGGAAUGAAAUGGGCCAUCUUGGAGAAUCUAUCCAUGACAACGAAAAUGGAAUCAUGACCUCUUGUAGUUUUAGGCAAUCCUAGGACAAAAUCCAUACUAAGGUCACGCCAAGGAGUAUAAGGAACGGGUAGGGGAGUAUACAUCCCCGUGUUUUGACGUUGGGCCUUACCCAACUGACACAUGCGACACUGAGACACAAUACGAGCCACAUCCUUUUUAAGGGAAGGCCAGUAAAAUCUAUCCUCAACUAAGGAGACAGUUUUAUUAUGACCAAAGUGACCUGUGAGACCUCCAGCAUGGAGUUCCCAAAUAAGGUACUCACGAAGUGUGGUGCGAGGAAUACACAACUUGUUACCUUUAAAAAGAUAACCCUCUUUAAGCAAGAAAGCAACAUGAUUACGAGAGGAGUUAGAUACGAGGUCUUGAAAAAUGAGACCAAAGUCGGGACAACUAGGAUAUUCAUCUUUUAAACGUUCAAAUCCGACCACCGUAGUACUCAUAGUUUGGAGUACAGUAGUAAUACGGCUAAGAGCAUCCGCCACUUUGUUAUAGACCCCAGCUCGAUGGUGGAGAACAAAUGUAUAUUCUUGGAGAAACUCUACCCAUUUAAUGUAUCUAUCACUCAAAUUACGUUGGGAAUUGAGAUAGCGGAGGGCUUGGUGAUCGGAGUAAAGGAUAAACUCUUGAGGCAAUAAAUAAUAACGCUAAUGACGAAGAGUUUGGACGAUAGCAUAGAAUUCUUUGUCAUAAGUAGAAUACAUCUGCUGUGCCUGAUUUAAUUUCUCGCUAAAAUAGGCGAUAGGGUGACCCUCUUGACUUAAUAUACCACCUAUACCGAUACCAGAAGCAUCACAUGCCACUUCAAAUACUUUAGAGAGAUCAGGGUGGCGUAAAACGGGAGCUUCAAUCAACUUUUGCUUAAUUGUGAUGAAGGUUUUUUUGCGGAUGGUGUCCAAUGGAAAUCCCCUUUUUUCAUACAUUCAGUAAUAGGGGCAGUGAUAGAACUAAAACCUUAAAUGAAUCGUCUGUAGAACGAGGCUAAUCCAUGAAAGCUACGGGCCUCAGUCAAAGUUGUAGGUUCGGCCAAUCACGAAUUACAGAGAUUUUAGCUGGAUUAGCCGAAAUUCCUUAAGCAGAGAUAAUGAAACCUAAGAAUAAGACUUGUGAUUGUAGAAAGGAACACUUUUUAAGGUUAGCGUAUAGUUUGUUAGAACGAAGUGUAAGAAAGACUUGUCUAAGGUGAUCUAAGUGGUUCUCUCGCGAUUUACUGUAAAUCAAUAUAUCAUCAAAAUAGACCACGAGAAAUUUUCCAAUGAAAGGUCGGAAGACGUGAGUCAUCACCCUCAUAAAAGUGCUAGGCGCAUUAGACAUCCCGAAAGGCAUAACUAGCCACUUGUAUAAACCAUCCUACGUCUUAAAGGUUGUUUUCCAUUCAUCCCCUGGUCUAAUCCUAAUUUGGUGAUAUCCACUUCGUAGAUCUAUUUUAGAAAACCAUAAGGAUCCCACUAACUCAUCCAGCAUGUCGUCGAGGCGUGGUAUGGGAAAUCGAUAUUUUAUAGUAAUUUUGUUAAUAGCACGACUAUCGACACACAUACGCCAAGAUCCGUCUUUUUUGGGCGUAAGUAGGACGGGGACUGCACAAGGACUAAGGCUAUGACGAAUAAAACCUUUAGAUAGUAAUGCCUCAACCUGUUUAUUUAGCUUGACCCGUUCCGUAGGAUUCAUCCUAUAGUGAGGGCGAUUUGGUAAUUGUGAUCCCGGGACCAAGUCGAUUGCAUGUUGAAUAUCACGAAUGGGAGGAAAUUCAUCAAGUAGGUCAUCUGGCAUGACAGCGCUAAACUCCUCUAACAACGGAGUGGUAACAAGGAGGCGAUCAGAGUUUGCUUCAGUAGUAGGUUGGGAACAUGCUUUGGUAACUAACGCAAACAUCAACCCGGUGUCGUGCGCCUCAAGCUCAAAGGCCUUAUGGGACAAGACCUGAAUUCGGUUCUUUGUACUUGUAGCACAAGUGGGUGUUGUUUUAGGCGGUGGUCUCUUGGAGGGGUCAAAUGGUUUGGUUGGAAGAAGCCGAAUGGGUUUGCCAUUAUGGACAAACUCAUAAGUGUUAUCACGCUCGAAGUGCUUAACAUCAUGAUCGUAGAGCCAAGGGCGACCCAAAAGCACGUGAGCAACAACCAUAGGUAGAAUGUCACAGUAAAGGUCUUCUGAAUAUGGGCCAAAUGUAAGGAAUACAAGACAACGAUGAGUAACAGGCAAAGAAGUCCUAUUGACCCAUGCCACCUUAAAAGGGCGAGGGUGGGGUUCAGGCUUGAAGCCGAAUUUGGUUACCGCUGAGGUGGAAAUGGCGUUCAUGGUACUACCCCCGUCAAUUACUAAUUUGCAAAAACUAGAGUUACACGGUAUGUACGUGUGGAAUAUUGAUGUCCUUUUCCAAGAAUGAGAGUUAACAGGGGUGGAGAGGAUGCAUCUCAUGAUUGAGACAACAACCUCAUCCUCCACGUGACACUCAAGUUGUUCGAGGUCCUCAUGAGAAUGGUCAAUAGGAUCGACCGUAAAACAUUCAUCGAUUUUCGGUGUUGGAAGUAGUGGUUCUUGAUUAACAGUAAGGGUACGAUGAGGGCAUCGAGAUGCUAUAUGACCUUGAUUCUGACAAUGAUGACACACGAUUGACGGGUUAGCGAUAUGGGAAGAAGCAAAAGAAGAAGGUUGAUACUUAUUGAUAUCUUGGGAAAGUGAAGGUGAUGAUGAAGAAGACCCGACAACUGUGCAAGACUGAGUUGAUGCUGGAAUACUACCAGGAGUGGAGGAUGGGUUAGGACGUGGUUGGCGAGGGUCCACAAAGUUCGAAAGGCUCCUUUGAGUGUAUGGUGCUCGAGAGUACCUCUCAUACUCGAGGGCUUUGUGAUAGGCGUCCUCUAGGGAAAAGGGACUGAGCACGGUGACGUGGUGUUUAAGGUCGGGCCUUAGGCCAUUAAGAAAUGGAGUAACAGUGACAUCCUCGGGUUCAUAAAGACUGGAACGAUGGAGCAACUCAUCAAAACGAGAUCUAUAGUCAGACACGGUCGAGGAGUUUUGUCUAUGGUUAAGCAAACGCUCUAGAAGCUGAGAUCGAUGGAAUGGUGGGACAUACUUUUCUUUCAGUUUUGUUUUCAUUUCCACCCAUAGGGUGAUAGGUUGUCCUAAAUGUUCGAGGUUUCGUGUCAAGUUUUUCCAAUAGCGUUUAGCAGAUUUGGUGAGUUUCAUUUUGGCGAAGCGAAGCCGCUGAUAAUCCGGCAUGCGAUACCAAUCAAAGUAUUCUUCGAUGGAGUCCAUCCAAUCUAAAAAGGCUUCGGGGUCUAGACGGCCAUCAAAUUCGGGAGCAUCUACUUUAAUGUUUCUAGACAUGUCAUCAACAAGGUCCCUAUGUCGAUCAAAAUGUGGGGGGCGGGGUUCAGGGCGAGUAUUAUAUUGGACACCAGGUUCCAGAUAUUCGGGGGUGUGUGCGUUGUGAAUAGGAUGCUGUAUCGUAGGGGAUUCCCCUCUAGGUGGAAUGACAGGAGCCUGUUGAGCAAUGUUAUGAAUGUUUUGACCUAUGGUCGUGGAUUCAGAAAAAUUAUCUGCGGGGCAUUUUUCAGGAUUUCGACGUAACUCAAUGAUAAAAUCUUUAAGUUCAGCAAAAUCAGCCUUCAUAGACGCUAAAUCAGUUGAAAGAUUGGCAACUUGCUGAGAUAAUACUUCGUGUGAGUGUUCUAAAUCUUUGAGAUUCAUUUGUAUUGAUUUGAGAAAAAGAUUAUUUUUUUAAAUUUUUUUUUAACUUGGAACGAAUGCAACACUACGUAAAAGGCAAAGUACUUGAAUAAUAGCAAAGUUUCAAUAAAAGCAGAAGGAAAUCCUUACCAAAACACAAGGGAAGAACUGGCCACAGGCUUCUCACAAAACGGCAGGACUCGCUGCAGCAGUGGUGGAACGGAGAUGGUGAUAGCAAGAGUAGUGACCAGACUGGGGCCAGUAACAGUUGCGAAAGACUUCGAGCGGCAGUGGAGUGACGGAGAUGAAAAUAUAAUGAAAUUGUUGUACCUCGGUGGCGAUGAUGGUGACCGAACGCGUGGAGGACUUGACCGUGACAGUAGAGGCGGAGAUUCCGAAUUUGAGUGGUGGAGCAGCGGCGAGUUUAAGUGUUUGGAGCCGAAGUGGUUGGCACAAAGUGGUAGGAGGCAGCUUAUGGAUUUGAGAGGGGAAAAUGAUGACUUUAGUGGUGUGAUUCUUCCCUGUGCGACGAAGUGGUGGUGGUUAUGGAUGUUUAGGAAAUAGAUGAUAGUGGUGGACUGGGGGAGUGGUUUGGUAGCGACGAAAUUAGCGAUGGAUAGGUAAUAUAGGGUGCCUUUGGUUGAACAACAACAGUUGUGACAUAUGAAGCAGCAAUAUGAGGAAUAAUCGACAAUAAAUUGUACUACUCUUUUUUUUUUUUUUUUUUUCAGAAUAUCUAAUGCAACUACUACUAACCGGUGAACAGUUCCCUUUCUUUUCUUUUUUUUUUGGAUUUUUUUUAACUAAGAACAAAGAACUAAAAGAAAACUUAAAACUGCUGCUGGGAUAAAUGCUCUUCCUCUUUCGUUUUGUGAUGUUCAAAGGCUGCCGUAUGUAAUGGUAGUUAUUGGUGUUGAAUGGGUGCUGGAAGGGUGGCUGUAUAUGAAGGUAGAUGGAAACGAGGUCAAGGAUUGUUGAUGAUUCUGUGGCCAAAGGGAACGAGCUUGCUCUGAUACCAAAUUGAUGCAGGAACACACAAAUUAAUAAAGAAUAAUAAGAAGAAAGAGAAAUUACAGGGAAAAAUUGAGGGCAAAAGAAAUAAUCUUAUUCAUAUAAUGCAAGUGUUUCUAAAUAUUACCCUAAGCCCUUUUAUAUAGAGAAGGACUUUGAAAUUAAAUAAACUUCUUAUCUAAAAAAACUUGAAAAUAAAAGAUAACAAUGUCAAAAUAAAACUAUUAUAAUUUAGAUAUACUAGAAUUCUAAUUAUCAAAAUAAAACUACUAAAUAAACUCGAAUUCUACUAAUUAUUAGUCUUUCGCCUUGAAUAGACUUUUAAUUGUUUCCUUAUUGCAUCACCCGGCCUCUAUGUCUAAACCGCUAUAUCAUGCAUAUUGUCCAUUUCGGAUGAGCGUAUGCCUGCUUACAUAUAUUCAAUUAAAAAAUUUUAAAAGUCUUUAUAAGUUUUAGAGUAUUCAAAUUUUAAUAAUUUCUAGAGACUUUUAUAAAAAUCUAUGGAGUAUUAACUUUUAAGCAUAAAGUGCUCAUAUAAAAUCUUAAAAUUUGUCUCUCAUUAAUUAUGAGAUUUUGGGAGACUUUCACCAAAAAAUAAAAUAAAUAAAUAAUUAAAAUCUUUUUUUCAAUAUUUCUUUUCUUUUUCCUUCUAUGAAUAGAUAUGAUUAAAAUUUAUUUUUUUAUUGAUUAUAUUUAUUUUUAUUUAUCUCUCUCUUUCUUAUUGUUUAUUUCUAUUUUCUAUGAAAAAUUAAAUUAGAUUCUAAUAACUUUUUUUUUUCAUUUUGCAUUCAUUUUUCUGUAAAAAAAUAUCUAUUUUAUAUUAAAAAUAUAAAAUUUUAUAUGAAAAAUUUAUAAUUAAAUUUAAAUAUAUUGAUUUAUUUAUUUUUAAAAAUAUAUUAUAUUAAUAAUAUUUAAUAUUAAAUUUAUUGUUUAUCAUAUAUAUGUAUAAUUUUGAUUAUUAUUUAUUUAAUUAAUGUUUUAAAUUUUUAUUCUUUUAAAUUUUUUUAUUAUAUGGGAAGAAGGAGAAUUGUGGAAACCAACACCUCGUAUGUGAGGAUUUCACACCAUUAUACUAAAUCCACGUGAAUUCUAUUUCAAAUUAAAGUUUUCAAAAAUCUUUUGGAAUAUAUGAAAGUCUAUAAAAAUUUUGAAAUGAAAGUUAAUGAAAGUUUAUGAAAAACUUCCACUAAUUCCAUGCAAAUCUAUAAAAGAUCCACGAAAUCCAUAGAAAUCAUCACUCAAAAAAACUCCAUUAAAAUUUUCAAAAGUCCCAAUUGAACACACCCCCUAAAGCUUGGGGAUUAAGGUUCACCGAUUUGAGAGAUGCAAUUGGCUUGGAGAGUUUUGGUUUUGGUUUCAAUCUCCUGCAUUUAGUUUCUUAUGGCUAAGGCGUGAUUGGGUUGAGGAGAAAAUUAUGUGGCAUUUCAUCUAUGACUUGGACUUAUUCAAUCUGCCUGAUGUGCAAUCCAUUAUCCACGUAAGCCAUGUUAAUUAACAUGGAAGUUAGUUUGUGAAUGAUAGAGUGUAGCUUUACAAAGUUCAGUAAAUAAUGAAGUACAACUCAAAAUACAGUGAAUAAAAUGUGAAAUUAUACAAAGUUUGGUGAGUGUUGAAAUAAUUAACUCAUUUAACCCACGUUUAAUGACCUGGCGUGGCCAAAAGUGGGCACUUUUCCUGUGUAGAAUUGAAGAAAAGACCAACUGAUUUUUUUUUAAAUUUUCUUUCCUUAAAAGGAAAGGUAAAUGUUGGAAAAUAGCUAAGGAAGGUUGAUUUUCAUCAAACUUAAAAAAAAAAAAAAAAAAAAAAAAAAAAAAAAAAAAAACUGUGACGUCGGGCAGAAUAACGAUUAUCUUGCAGACAACUCGAUAUCACUUGACUCGAAACCUCUUGCAUAAAUUUGGAUGGGUCCUACUACUUGAGUAAAAAGAGAAAUGGGUCGAUCAUGUUCUACACGUCUAUUAGAUGAAUUUGGUAUAUUUGGAAGUCAAAAACUAUUUUUGGAUGAAUGAGAAAUUAAUGAAUGAAAUAGGGUUGAAAAACAUGAUUUUUGAAUAAAAAUCGGACUUUUAUAUAAGAACGUCGCUCAAGCAGCGAGUCAUUGAAAUGUGCACUCGAGCGACAACAAUGUGGUAAGCGGGUGGCAUAUUAACCUAGGCAACUGUUCAUCAAACACAUUGAUUUUUGGGUUGUGUCACUUCAUGUGCACCUCCUCAACCUCUAUAAGUUAGACCCUUGUGUGUUGGUUUCAUUUGCUCAUAUUCUAUGCAAUCAAAGCAUAUCAUAUAACCUUAAUUUUUAGCCAAAAUUCUAUGUCAAAAGCCUUUAAUUUUCAUUCCAAAAAGGAGUUCAUAACUUCGCUCGGUUCAUCGCUUCUAGUAUUUUGAAGUGUUGCAAACACAAAAAUUGAUCAUUGUAUUUUGGAAGACAAUUGCCAUAAACCCUAGUCAACUGUGCAGGAUAAAUUUAUCUUAAGGACAAAGAAUUUAACUCUUGCCUCGAUCCUUUUGCAUUUCAUUCUUUCCAUGUUAUUCUAUCAACCUUCCAUUUGAUUACAGGUGGGUAUUGGUAUGUUUGAAUUACUUCAAUAAAGAAAUCACUUUGUGCAUUUACAUACAGCAGUAAAUAGUGAUUCGUUCAUAUACAAUAAAAAAAGGUGAAUACGUGAUGAAUGAACCAAAUGCGGGUGAAACAUAUUUGAAAUUAUAGCAUAAUAUCACAUCCAUAAUAACAAAAUAGAAGGCCAAAGUAGAAUAAUAUAUUUUUAUUCAGUAAGUCAAAUGUAUGUAAACAAAAUGAAAGCGCAAGAAUAGCUAACCAAGAAGGGGCUAAAUUGGUUUUCAAAAAUUCUUAGAAGAUCAAUUCGAGUUUUAAAUCAAUGUAAUAGCAAAUGAAACAAUUUAACAAAUAUGCACAAAUAUAAAAUCUAAUAAGAACAAGUAAUAAGUACAAUAUAAAAGUGGUCAAUAAAAGGGAGAAAUGAUGCAAACGAUAGUGGAGAUUUGACCAAAAGCAAUGAUCGACGUCUUUCGUUACCAAGCUCUACAGCACGAGUAAGGCCUUUUCACUAUAUUAAUUGACUCAUGGUGCAAUCCAAUCCUUUAUAACGCUUUCGAUGACUUAUAAAUAAAGAGCAUCGAUCAUUAUACAAUGUUGCACUUUACAGGACCUCAACAUAACCAACAAUUAAAAAGAGAAUAAAUUUCACAAAUAAAUUCUUCUCUCUUAAUGAAUGAUAUAGUCAAAAUUAAGUACCAAGAGCGAAGUAGGCUAACACUUUAAUAGAUAGCAAUAAAUAUAGCUCAAGUGUUAGAGUAGAAAAACUUUUGUGAGAAAAGUGAUUUUCAAAAAUUUGAUUCACUCAAAAAGCUUUUCAAGAAAUAGAUGAUUUGAUCUUUUGAGAAUUAAAAAUAAAGUAGUUGGAAUCAAUAAUGCCUCACUGCAAUGCUCUUAAAGUUGUCGGUGAAUGAAAAUGAAAUGGUAUUUAUAGUAGUGAAACUGUUAGAAUUUCUAUUGAUCUAGAUGAGUCAUCUGGACGUCCAGGUCUAAAUUGGACAGUGCAAAAGUAGCCGUUAU
rnacentral:lncRNA from 1 species